GCCUCAGUAACGGCGAGUGAAGCGGCAACAGCUCAAAUUUGAAAGCUGGCCCCCCCGGGGGUCCGCGUUGUAAUUUGUAGAGGAUGAUUCGGCGAGGGCUCCCGCCUAAGUCCCCUGGAACGGGGCGUCAUAGAGGGUGAGAAUCCCGUAUGCGGUGGGCUGCCUUAGCCAUGUGAAUCUCCUUCGACGAGUCGAGUUGUUUGGGAAUGCAGCUCUAAAUGGGAGGUAAAUUUCUUCUAAAGCUAAAUACCGGCCAGAGACCGAUAGCGCACAAGUAGAGUGAUCGAAAGAUGAAAAGCACUUUGGAAAGAGAGUUAAAAAGUACGUGAAAUUGUUGAAAGGGAAGCGCUUGCAGCCAGACUUGUCCGCAGUUGCUCAGCCGGUCUCCUGACCGGCGCACUCUUCUGCGGCCAGGCCAGCAUCAGUUCGGGCGGUCGGAUAAAGGCCCCGGGAACGUAGCUCCUCUCGGGGAGUGUUAUAGCCCGGGGUGGAAUGCGGCCAGCCUGGACUGAGGAUCUCGCUUCGGCUAGGAUGCUGGCGUAAUGGCUGUAAGCGGCCCGUCUUGAAACACGGACCAAGGAGUCUAACAUCUAUGCGAGUGUUUGGGUGUCAAACCCAUGCGCGUAAUGAAAGUGAACGGAGGUGGGAACCCUCGCGGGUGCACCAUCGACCGAUCCUGAUGUCUUCGGAUGGAUUUGAGUAAGAGCAUAGCUGUUGGGACCCGAAAGAUGGUGAACUAUGCCUGAAUAGGGUGAAGCCAGAGGAAACUCUGGUGGAGGCUCGCAGCGGUUCUGACGUGCAAAUCGAUCGUCAAAUUUGGGUAUAGGGGCGAAAGACUAAUCGAACCAUCGACUACUAGGUGGUUAAGAGGUGGCUGAAAGUGCCCACCUAGUCCCCCCGUCCGAGGACGGGGGGGCGACAUCGCCAAAUUGCGGGGACUCCCUUAGAGCCUCUACUACCGCGGCCGGCCGAAAGGCGCGGUGCAGCACCGGGUUAAUUGCCUAGGGUACGGUAAAAAGGUAGAGGAUUGGGAAAUCCGCAGCCAAGCGCCUAAGUCCCGCGGGAUACGGCGAAGGUUCAGAGACUAGAUGGCGGUGGGUCCGGCCCGAGGGCCGGGCCUAAGGUAUAGUCCACCCCCCGC
rnacentral:sRNA from 1 species